GAGACCACCACAGUGACUUGCAAGCAACUCACUGCACUUUGGCACUGGACUACCUGAAUUUCUAAUUCAGUGACGGAAGGCUACUGGGUGUAGUCAAGUACUUGACUUGUCGGUGCAUGUGUCAAGAUGGGAUUGACCACUCCAGUUCAGGAGCUGUGUACAGUCAUGUUUUAAUUUAGCAAAACCUUGGUCAGGAUACUCUUUGUGAGGAGUCACAGGACUGUUUGAGUUGAGCACGAUU
rnacentral:lncRNA from 1 species